rnacentral:lncRNA from 1 species
GGUCCGUGUUGUGUGGUAUGCCUCAGCUCUCUGCUCUGCUGGAGUCUAACCACCAGACAUUUUGAUUUCAACAAGAGUGCUGAUGAAAAAUAAAUAAGCUGGAGGUAAAAAAAAGAGGCAGUAUUCACAUAGAAUAUUAUCAGGGCUGCUGUGUGACUGUGCCAGAGGUGACUAAGGGAAAAGAAGAAAGCAAGCUUCUGAAAUGAGGGUUCAGGAAGUAACUGAGUGUGGCUUCUUGGUGCUGCUGUGGUGACAGAACAGGCUACGUGGCCAAGGCAAGAUCUACUAAAGCUGAACAUGUACAUAUUUUAUGACCCAACAAUUCUAAUCCUGUGGCUACAUCCAAUCCAGAUAAGUGCUAUGUCUACCCUCCUGCCUGAAGUAACCAAAAAUGGACAAAAUAUAUGAAGCAAUGGUUUUUAAGGCAUUGUAUAUCAAGCAAUGAAGCAUAAUGACCCCUGAGAGAUGGGAAAUGAAUAAGGUGAGCCCUACAAUUGUACUAGUUUACUGCUUUGAGAGAGUUUCUAGGCUGUGGUGCACGGAGGAAUAACCCAGGAAGAGACUGGCAGAUUCCCUGAGUUGAAGCGAGUGCUGAGAACCCAGGGAUACCAAGAUGGCUAAAAUUCUUAAGACAGAGUACUAGAGAAGAGAGACACAGAGAAAACUCUAGAGAUCUGCAGAGAUUUGCCUAUGACAAUUCAGCUGAGUGAUUCCCAUCAUAUGUUUGUGAGGAAACUAUCUGAGGUUUAAAAAAUAAUCACUCAAAAUGAAUAGAGGAUACAGUACUCCAUGCUCACACAGGGCUGGGAAUAGUGCCUGUUUCCAUCAUCCAGACUGGAAAAACCUCAAGAUUCCUGGGGCACUGAGUAGAAUACAGAUAAAAGUCCUGCUUCAUUAGUGAGGAAUAAUUAGCCCUAGACAAGCAAUGCUCUAGUCCUGUACAACAAAUGUGGUAUGAAGAUUAUAUGGUAUUGAGUUUAUAAAAUAUGAAAAAGUAAAAUAUAUAGCAACAGUAGCAAAAUUUGGGAUGGGAGAAAUGAAAGUGAACUAUUGGACAGUUCUCAUACUAUACAUGAAGUAGUGUAUUACUCGAAGGUAGAGUAUGCUAAAGAUAUAUGCUAUAAACUCUAAAAUAACUAAACGAAACCACUAAAAUAACAAGAGUCACAGUUGUAAUGGAUAUAUCAACUUGACUGGCCUGCAGUGCCCAGGUAUGUAGUCGAACAUUAUUCUGGGUGGUUUGAUGAAAGUGACUUUGGAUGAGAUUAACAUUUAAAUCUGUGGACUUUGAGUAAAGCACAUGACCCUCCUUGAUGUGAGUGGGUCUCAUCCAGUCAGUAGAAGAUCUGAAUACAACAACAGACUGACCUCCCCAAGCAAGAAGGAAUCCUGCUGGUAGAAGGCCUUUGGACUUGUACUGCAAUACUGGCUCCUUCUUGGGCCUCCAACCUGCCAGCCUGCCUUGCAGAUUUUGGACUUCCCAGUCUCCAUGAUCAUGUGAGCCAAUUCCUUAAAAUAAAUCUCUUUUAUAUAUAU